GAAACCGGAGCUAAUACCGGAUAAUAUAUUGAACCGCAUGGUUCAAUAGUGAAAGACGGUUUUGCUGUCACUUAUAGAUGGAUCCGCGCCGCAUUAGCUAGUUGGUAAGGUAACGGCUUACCAAGGCAACGAUGCGUAGCCAACCUGAGAGGGUGAUCGGCCACACUGGAACUGAGACACGGUCCAG
rnacentral:rRNA from 1 species